rnacentral:lncRNA from 1 species
UGGUUAUAAAGGACUUGUCUAGGGGAGAGCCUGUAGGUACUCCAUUGUCUGAUGGAUCUGAGAACGCUGUCUGGGCUUGGUACCAAGAGCUGGUAUUUCACAGCAGCGACCGCCUCACAGACGAGCUGUGGGAAGCAGGAGGGAGACUCUCUCUUAGGGUGCCACUACUAUGGAGACACAGCUGGGCUGAACAAGAUUUGCUUCAAACGACAACAAGAGAGACAGAAAGUAUCUGGUUCAACCGCUGCCCGAGCAGGCAGGCACCAGAAGAGCUAGCAGCCAAUCCGGCCAUGCUCGAAGCCAGCUCUGCAGCUCAGCCAAUCAGUGACAUCAUUGCUUUCUUUAGCUUGCCCAUGGUGAUGUGAAGAUGAGAAGAAAUAGCAAGGCCCAACCAGUUCUUCAUCUGGAGACAGUUCAACGUUCUGCAAACCAGAUCUUCAGGAAUUUUACUGGGAUAAUUAUCCAAAUAAAUUGCAAGCAUUCUAUCCAAAUGGAGCUCUUUCUGAGAUGAAGAGAAUUCUCAAUGUCAAGAUUUGAACAAGAAGAGAAUGGAAUACACAAUAUGGACAUCCAUAAAAAUUCAUCAGAGAGCAUUUUACUACUGAGCUGCAAAGGUGUCUGAUGAUUUGUGAGCCUCAAGUGACUACUCUGUGGAAUCAUCUGUCCUUGCCUUUGAAUUAGCUUUCCCUAGGCCAUGAGUCAACAUUAGUAGUUUAUACAUCCAAAUUGUGUUGACUUCAUUCUCAGAUGACAAGAGCACCUCAAAGGCAGCAGCCUCAAGGAGCAGCCAUGGCCCCAGACUUGUCGCACGGAUGCAGAAAACUUAAUGGAGGAGGCUGAGGUCAGAAUGGGAAGAGUUUUUAAAAAAUAAAAAGGGGAGCUAAUAUGUGAG